rnacentral:rRNA from 1 species
UACGAAGGGGGCUAGCGUUGUUCGGAAUCACUGGGCGUAAAGGGCGUGCAGGCGGCUUGAUAAGUUCGGCGUGAAAUUUCCCGGCUUAACCGGGGGAUGUCGUCGGAGACUGUCGAGCUAGAGGGUGAUAGAGGCGUGUGGAAUUCCGGGUGUAGUGGUGAAAUGCGUAGAGAUCCGGAGGAACACCAGUGGCGAAGGCGACACGCUGGGUCAUACCUGACGCUAAAACGCGACAGCAUGGGGAGCGAACGGG